UGGGGAUGGCAACUGCCCAUGUGGUCUGUAGUGGAGGCUGCAUCCAAUCAUUUGGGGGAUUCGUCUCACCGUUUGGAAGAGGGAGUUUUUGACCCUUUGAGGUGUCCAACAUAGUGAUUUGACAAUUCUAUACAUUGGGCAAUGCUUACUAUGCAUUUUGAAUACAUCUUGCCACUUCCUUUUGACCUGCAAAAUUUUUGCUAAAAAAUCAGCAGAUAGCCUUAUGGGGUAUUCAUUACAAAGAAAAGGAAUCUUACCACUCUCAGAUCUUGAAGGCAGAGAUCCAGAAGACCUGACAAGGUACUUUUUAAAAAAAAACUAAAGGUUUAUGGCAAUUCUGCACUGACUUCCCUAUUCCCCUGAGACACAACAAUAUUGAAAUUAUGGGUUCUGGCCCCCAAAUGAGGACAUCGGAAGACCCUGAAGUCACCUCCUCCAUGGACACACUAAAUGUACACCUAUUUAUAAAGUACUGAUUCCUGAAGACCUGAGGGCUGACAACAGCUUCUGUACAAUGAAAUGUAGAGAGACCACACAGAGUACGGCAAAGAGAUAAGGACAAGUACGGCAAAGGGAAUGCCCAGCCUGAGGCAGCAAGCUACAGUGGGGAGGGGUAAUACAGAGCCAAUCCAAACAGACUGUUUGCUCUGAGACAUGGGGGAAAAAGCCAUGGUUUCAAAAA